AGCGAACGCUGGCGGCAGGCCUAAUACAUGCAAGUCGAACGCACCUUCGGGUGAGUGGCGGACGGGUGAGUAACGCGUGGGAACGUGCCCUUUGGUACGGAACAACUGAGGGAAACUUCAGCUAAUACCGUAUGUGCCCUUCGGGGAAAAGAUUUAUCGCCAUUGGAGCGGCCCGCGUUGGAUUAGCUAGUUGGUGGGGUAAAGGCCCAGCAAGGCUACGAUCCAUAGCUGGUCUGAGAGGAUGAUCAGCCACACUGGGACUGAGACACGGCCCAGACUCCUACGGGAGGCAGCAGUAGGGAAUCUUGCGCAAUGGGCGAAAGCCUGACGCAGCCAUGCCGCGUGAAUGAUGAAGGUCUUAGGAUUGUAAAAUUCUUUCACCGGGGAAGAUAAUGACGGUACCCGGAGAAGAAGCCCCGGCUAACUUCGUGCCAGCCGCCGCGGUAAGAC
rnacentral:rRNA from 1 species